CGUCCUGUCGUGUGGUUGACGUGUGUCCGGUUUGGUGUUUCAAGAGGACUUAGUUGUAGUCAAGGUGGGAUAGAACUGCCGAUACGCUGCCCGGAAACGUAUCUUCAGGGGCCAGCAUGUAAGACCUGUGUCGCCUGUGUCGCCUCUCUGGGCCGGCUGUUGGUUGUUGCUAUUGCUGUCUCGUACCGUGAAUAUGCCCAACCUCAUAUUACCACGAAGGGAAAGAAAAGCAGGAAACAAGAGGUGCAGUUACCUGGACGAGCGUCGCACCUCGCCGCUGACACCAAG